GGCAGUGGUAACUCAAGGGUUAAGGCUCUGGGUUACUGAUCAGAAAGUUGGGGGUUCAAGCCCCACCACUGCCA